AACGAACGCUGGCGGCAGGCCUAACACAUGCAAGUCGAACGCGAACGCACCUUCGGGUGUUAUUAGAGUGGCGGACGGGUGAGUAACACGUGGGAAUAUGCCUUUCAGUACGGAACAACCAUUGGAAACGAUGGCUAAUACCGUAUACGCCCCUAGGGGGAAAGAUUUAUCGCUGAAAGAUUAGCCCGCGCUAGAUUAGCUAGUUGGUGAGGUAAUGGCUCACCAAGGCUCCGAUCUAUAGCUGGUUUGAGAGGAUGAUCAGCCACACUGGAACUGAGACACGGUCCAG
rnacentral:rRNA from 1 species